rnacentral:lncRNA from 10 species
GGACCUGAUAUCUUUGGGGGUCAUUAUUUAACCUACCAUUAUAUUUCUCUUGCAGAUUGCAAACUUCUUGGGUGGGUUCCAAAUAAUGGUACCAGAACUUCAGGUUCAAGUCAGACCUGGAACUCUGUUUCAUUGCAGGUAUUUCAAUCAAAGAUUCAUUCUGCUAUGAACUCCAAUGACUUGCCACCCGCCAAGUUGUCUAGCCAAGCCUCGGAAAGUACAUUCAAGAAAAAUUGUCUGCCUUGGAAAAACCAGAAAACAUUACAGAAUUCACUAUAUUCCCCACAAAAGAAACUUUUGUAUUUUGUCAAGAUGAUACUAUAACAAUGAGAUGGAGAGUUCUACUUCCAGUUAUUAAUUACCCAAGCAUAUUUCAUAUAACUAAUCAACUUUAAAUGGAAUGGUAAGUUAAUGAAAUUUUUCUCUGCUCUAUCUUUAUGAAACCAGGAACAGUAAUUGCACAGGAGAAAUCUGAUCUCUGUUGGCAUGAUUACGUAUGUUAUUAAUUAGUUUUAAUGCAAAUACCUUGGGCACAUUUUUAAAGUUUGUACCAUGUGUAAUUAUACUCCAGGAUACUGGAAGCAAAAGUAAUCUUAAUGAUAAUUUAGUUUGAUAAAUUUGUUUUGCAUAAAAGAUCAUUGAAUCCCAGAAAAGUUAAGUGACUUUCCCAGGGUUACAUAGCCAGGUAGUGUGUGUCUACCUCAGGACCUCCAUGCUUUUUUUUUUUUUCAGACAUGAAAUAUCAUCCUGCAGAUAAUUAAUUGGUACUUCUCAAUCAGAGGUAAAUUUUGUCCUGAUGACUCUAAACUUUAGCCAACUUCUGUGUUGUAUCCCAUGUCUUCCAACUCGUAGCAUCCCAACAGGUGAUUUAAGAAAAACUCGUAACAGUGAUAACAAUACCCUUUCAGCUUCCAGAAGUGUUAACUCACCAUAGCCCUGGGAUCACCAUACUGCAAAUGAGAAAGCUUAAGCUCUGAGAUCUGGAAUUUGGAAUAACAAACUCCUCUCUUGGUAAUCAAAGAAGACUUCAUGGAAGAGGUGGUAUUUGAACUAUGACUUAAAGAAUAAGUAGAAUAUUACCCAUUGGGCCAGAGCAAAAAAGAGGAAGGCAAUCCAGGUUAAAAAAAACAACAACAACAACAGCAUCAGCAAAAACAAGUAGGAUAUUAGAAUGUUCAUUAAGAAACUUCCUCUCCUGCUUUGAUUUAAUGUAUUAAACACUGCACAGGAGGCAUCAAAUGAUAGAGAUACUUUUAUUGGUCAUGGAAUUUCAAGGGCUUAUCAAAUGGUUAAUGAGC